rnacentral:rRNA from 1 species
GCAAGUCGAACGGUAACAGGAAAUAGCUUGCUAUUUUGCUGACGAGUGGCGGACGGGUGAGUAAUGCUUGGGAAUUUGCCUUGUUGUGGGGGACAACAGUUGGAAACGACUGCUAAUACCGCAUAAUCUCUACGGAGCAAAGGUGGCCUCUAUUUAUAUGCUAUCGCGAUGAGAUGAGCCCAAGUGGGAUUAGCUAGUUGGUAAGGUAAUGGCUUACCAAGGCGACGAUCCCUAGCUGGUCUGAGAGGAUGAUC